rnacentral:rRNA from 1 species
AGAGUUUGAUCAUGGCUCAGGAUGAACGCUAGCGGCAGGCUUAACACAUGCAAGUCGAGGGGCAGCACGGGUAGCAAUAUCUGGUGGCGACCGGCGCAAGGGUGCGUAACGCGUGAGCAACAUGCCCGUAUCAGGGGAAUAAUCCAGGGAAACUUGGUCUAAUACCCCAUAGUAAAUAUUAAAGGCAUCUUUAAUAUUUUAAAGCUUUGGUGGAUACGGAUUGGCUCGCGUGACAUUAGCUAGAUGGUAAGGUAACGGCUUACCAUGGCUACGAUGUCUAGGGGUUCUGAGAGGAAGAUCCCCCACACUGGAACUGAGACACGGUCCAGACUCCUACGGGAGGCAGCAGUGAGGAAUAUUGGACAAUGGAUGGAAAUCUGAUCCAGCCAUGCCGCGUGCAGGAAGACGGCCCUAUGGGUUGUAAACUGCUUUUAUAUGGGAGCAAUAAGACCUACGUGUAGAUUGAUGAGAGUACCAUAUGAAUAAGCACCGGCUAACUCCGUGCCAGCAGCCGCGGUAAUACGGAGGGUGCAAGCGUUAUCCGGAUUUAUUGGGUUUAAAGGGUGCGUAGGCGGUUUGAUAAGUCAGCGGUGAAAUAUUUCAGCUUAACUGGAAGGGUGCCGUUGAUACUGUCAGGCUUGAAUUUAGUUGCUGUGGGUGGAAUGUGUGGUGUAGCGGUGAAAUGCAUAGAUAUCACACAGAAUAUCGAUUGCGAAGGCAGCUCACAAAGCUAAUAUUGACGCUGAUGCACGAAAGUGUGGGGAUCAAACAGGAUUAGAUACCCUGGUAGUCCACACUGUAAACGAUGAUAACUCGCUGUCGGCGAUACAUAGUCGGUGGCCAAGCGAAAGCGAUAAGUUAUCCACCUGGGGAGUACGACCGCAAGGUUGAAACUCAAAGGAAUUGACGG